UGCAAUCUGUUAUGAGUUUAUUUUAACGUUCUGAUUAAUCUGUGAUUAUUUUACUAAAAUCACCAUCUUUCGGCUGAGAUUGCA